UUUGGUGAGAGAAAGAAUCAGAGAUUGGAUCUUAUGACCAAUUCUUCUGGAAUGCACAUGUGGAAAAUAUCCAAAUAUUCUUGAGGGGCAGUCUUCACUUGUUCCCUCAGCCUGCAAGAAAUGCACAUUAAUAGCGGCUUCUUCCCUGAGGAAGGUUUUGAACUGGAGUACUUGAGAAGAAACUUACAACAGAGCAGCCUAAAGUGCCACCCAGUCCCUUUUAAUUAGCACAUAGCAGACCUCUUACAUUUUUGUUGGCUGCUAACGUACUAAGCGUUUUUUGGCAGCAUGCGGUUCUGGAUUGAAGCCAUGCAUGCAAGUCUUCCACAUUGUGCUCUUUUCCCAGCAUGUUCCCCAGGACAUUGGAAGAAGAGAAAAGCUGAAUCAGUUUGGAAAAACAUAAAUAUUUCUGAACGUGUGGACAGUUCUCACUUCUCAUGUGUGGGAGGAAUAUUUCACUGCCCUCCUACCCAUCACUCAAAUGUCCCGAUCAAGUUAUUGAAAUAAAUUAUCUUAAAGAAUAAUUAUCUGACAAGAAUUCUUUUCCUGUCUCAAAAAGCACAUCUACUACCCUAUAAGCUUUUUUACCUACAUAGCUUACACACAGGCUGAUUUCAAUAAAUAAACUGGAUGAUGCCUAAAU